GAGGACCUACGGGACGCAGCAGUGAGGAAUAUUGGUCAAUGGGCGGAAGCCUGAACCAGCCAAGUCGCGUGAGGGAAGAAGGCCCUGCGGGUCGCAGACCUCUUUGGACGGGGAGCAAGGCCGCCGACGUGUCGGCGGAAGGAGAGUACCCGUAGAACAAGCAUCGGCUAACUCCGUGCCAGCAGCCGCGGUAAUACGGAGGAUGCGAGCGUUAUCCGGAUUUAUUGGGUUUAAAGGGUGCGUAGGCGGAUUGAUCAGUUAGAGGUGAAAUGUCCGAGCUUAACUCGGGAACUGCCUCUAAUACU
rnacentral:rRNA from 1 species